GAGGGUAUAUCUCAGUGGUAGAGUGUGUGCCUAGCAUCCAUGCAGUCCUGGGUUCAAUCCCCAGUACCUCCA
rfam:Camelus ferus unplaced genomic scaffold scaffold1156, whole genome shotgun sequence.